rnacentral:rRNA from 1 species
GACGAACGCUGGCGGCGUGCUUAACACAUGCAAGUCGAACGGAAAGGCCCUGCUUUUGUGGGGUGCUCGAGUGGCGAACGGGUGAGUAACACGUGAGUAACCUGCCCUUGACUUUGGGAUAACUUCAGGAAACUGUGGCUAAUACCGGAUAGGAGCUCCUGCUGCAUGGUGGGGGUUGGAAAGUUUCGGCGGUUGGGGAUGGACUCGCGGCUUAUCAGCUUGUUGGUGGGGUAGUGGCUUACCAAGGCUUUGACGGGUAGCCGGCCUGAGAGGGUGACCGGCCACAUUGGGAAUGAGAUACGGCCCAGACUCCUACGGGAGGCAGCAGUGGGGAAUAUUGCACAAUGGGCGGAAGCCUGAUGCAGCAACGCCGCGUGCGGGAUGACGGCCUUCGGGUUGUAAACCGCUUUCGCCUGUGACGAAGCGUGAGUGACGGUAAUGGGUAAAGAAGCACCGGCUAACUACGUG